AACGAACGCUGGCGGCAUGCCUAACACAUGCCAGUCGAACGAGACCUUCGGGUCUAGUGGCGCACGGGUGCGUAACGCGUGGGAACCUGCCCUUAGGUUCGGAAUAACUCCCCGAAAGGGGUGCUAAUACCGGAUAAUGUCUUCGGACCAAAGAUUUAUCGCCUUUGGAUGGGCCCGCGUUGGAUUAGCUAGUUGGUAGGGUAAAAGCCUACCAAGGCGACGAUCCAUAGCUGGUCUGAGAGGAUGAUCAGCCACACUGGGACUGAGACACGGCCCAGACUCCUACGGGAGGCAGCAGUGGGGAAUAGUGGACAAUGGGCGAAAGCCUGAUCCAGCAAUGCCGCGUGAGUGAUGAAGGCAUUAGGGUUGUAAAGCCCUUUUAACCGGGAUGAUAAUGACAGUACCGGGAGAAUAAGCUCCGGCUAACUCCGUG
rnacentral:rRNA from 1 species